GUCUGGACCAUCUGCGGUGACAACAAGUGAAUAAGAGACACACAAGUGACAGCUUAUUCUGAAUUCUUUCUUCAGUGAGUUGGAACUCGUCGUACCUUCCUGGUGUGGCUGUAAAUCUUCUCCAUGAAGCGAGCCUUGUCUGUGUUUUGGGCCAACCAAGUGUCGCAGAAAGACUUGGAGAAGGAGACAGGAAAGUGCCUUCAGCUUCUUGGGGAAGGACGGGCUCAGUUGGACCGCGACGGCCAGGUUAGUGAGGGGCGCCGUGGCAACCAGACUCACCUGCACACAGAGCAACAGCUCCAGGCCUGGAGCGUCUGGAUCCGGGGAGUCACCCAGCCCGUCCUUCCCGUGGAAGUCUCCAGCGUGGCGUGUACGGUUCAGCAGUGGCCCUGAACAUCCUAUGUACACCGGGAUCUGUGGAGCAUUACAGCAGCUCCAGGCCUGGAGCGUCUGGAUCUGGGACGUCGCCCAGUCCGUCCUUCCCGUGGUAAUCUCCAGCGUGGCGCUUACGGGCCAUCAGGGGCUCUUUACAGCCACGGUACACCGGGAUCUGUGGAGUGGGAUAGAUUGGGUUUGUGUAAGGGUGUGUUGCCCAAUCCCUAAUCCCCCUAAAUCCAACCACUGAGUCACUAUCAAGCAUCAUCACAGACUUACAUCCAGACGGUUGCAGGCUUUCAGGACCCGCAGUGUGUUCCUGAGCACGUUAUCCAGGGGUGUGUUGCCAAAGCAGCAGGUGAUCCCCAAGAUCUCCACAUCGGGGGCCGCAAGGGCCACCAUGAGGGCCUGGGCAUCAUCCACCCCUAUGUCUGCGUCAAAGAUUAUCUUCUUCUUCAUCAUCCUACACAUCAUUCUACUUCAGCGAAUCCAUGAACAUCUGCUUGAGCUUCUCCAAGUCGACUUUCUUCAUGAUGAAGGCCUUGUGCUUCUUCUUCAGCAGCUCCAUGUAGUCCAGCACCAUCAUGCCUCGGGUGUUGGACCCCUCCAGCUCCACCGUCACUGCAACCUGGAGGAGGAAACAGGAGACGUUGUUGGCAGUUCCAGGCCUGGAGCGUCUGGAUCUGGGACGUCGCCCAGCCCGUCCUUCCCGUGGUAAUCUCCAGCGUGCCGCUUAUGGGCCAUCAGGGGAUCUUUACAGCCACGGUACACCGGGAUCUGUGGAGUAGGAUAGAUUGGGCUUGUGUAAGGGUGUGUUGCCCAUACGAACCCCCCUAAAUCCAACCAGUGAGUCACUAUCAAGCAUCACAACAGACUUACAUCCAUCCGGUCGCUGACUUUCAGGACCCGCAGUGCGUUCUUGAGCACGUUAUCCAGGGGUGUGUUGCCGUGGCAGCAGGUGAUCCCCAAAACCUCCACGUUGGGGGCGGCGAGGGCCAACAUGAGGGCCUGGGCAUCAUCCACCCCUAUGUCCACGUCAAGCCAAAGCUUCUUCUUCUCCAUACUACAGUACAUUCAACAACAAGAAAAGUGUCAUGCUGAAAGAUAAACAACAGCCAAAAGGGAUUUUUCACAACCUGGCAACCCAAAAGUUGUUCUUAUUGGCUAAAUUAGGAUGGCGGAGAGAACUGCCGUUCAAGAAAACACGCAAAUAGACAGAUUCAGACGUGUUGUGCAUCAUUAUGAAUUUGAUUUUAUUCAUUUAUCAUUAGGAUUUUUAACAAGAUAAUACAACUUGUUAUAGGUGCAGGUUCUACAGGUAGAAUUACAGAAUGUUUUGAGUCGUGCACGUACACACAGAAGCUCUGUCUGCUUGCGAUACGAUCCUUCCAGGAAGUAAAGUAUUCCUCAGAGGCCUUUUUUUAUGCCUGCAACAUUACAUGAGAUGGAAAAGUU